rnacentral:lncRNA from 1 species
CCCCCACCGCGGGCAAUAGUCGGACCGAGCCGGAGCCCCGCCCCGUAGGUGGGGCCGGGAGCUUCACCCGUGGCGCCUCGAUGGGGCGCCUCUAGCAGGCGGGUGCAGCCUGUCCCGCGUACCCAGGCGUCCUCGGUACCCACGAAACGGAUCCAAAGAGUCUCAACACUAAUGUAACAUCCCACCCUGACCCAUCUUUGCCCUCUGAGAAAAGCGGCCCGAAAUGAGACUCAGGUGGGCGGAGCAGAGCUCAGCUUGGGAGGAGGCGGACGCGAGUAGCUCGGCAGGGGGACUCGCUUGGCUUUCGUGCCAUCCGUGGACACAGUCGCGCGGGUCUUUGUGGGAAGAAACAAAUCACAAAAGCAAUUAAGAGAGCUCAAACAAUGGGGUUUAUGCCAGUUACAUACAAGGAUCCUGCAUAUUUCAGGGACCCUAAAGUUUAUAACAUCAGAUAUCCGGAAUAAAUUCCAUCACAUUACCACCAGUAAACUUAUUUUAUAAGAUGGGUCUCACUGUGUUGCCCAGGCUGGUCUCUAACUCCUGGCCUCAAUCAUUCCUGCCUUGUCUUCCCUAAGUGCUGGGAUUACAGCUGUGAGCCACUGUGCCUGGCCUCACUUUUCCAAUUCUAAAGAAUGUGUGUAAGCCUUUCCCUCAACAACUUAUUGAAAGGCGAAAAAAGGUUUGGAAAUAAAAGGAUCUGAUGUUUGAAAAAGUACUUUGUAAAAUAAAUGCACUAAGACUUAUCUGUGGAUUACUGCAAAGAGGUGAAUAUAGUAAAAACAAAUGAACUUACCUGUAUUACUGCAAGUAGC